UUCAACUCUGUGAGAUAAACGCAUGCAUCUCAAAGAAGCUUCUCCAAAUUCUUCUGUGUAGUUUUGAUGUGAAAAUAUUUCCUUUUCCUCCACAGGCCUCAAAGCGCUCCAAAUGUUAACUUGCAGAUUCUACAAAAAGAGAGAUUCAAAACUGCUCAAUCAAAACAAAGGCUUAACUCUGUGAGAUCAGUGCACACAUCACAAAGAAGUUUCUAAAAAUGCUUCUGUCUAGUUUCUAUGUGAAGAUAUUUCCUUUUCCACCAUAAGCCUCAAAGCACUCCAAAUGUCCACUUCCACAUUCAACAAAAAGAGAGUUUCAAAACUGCUCAAUCAGAAGUAAGAGUUAACCCUGUGAGAUGAAUGCACACAUCCCAAGGAAGUUUCUCACAUUGCUUUUGUCUAGAUUUUAUGUGAGGAUAUUUCCUUUUCUAACAUAGGCUGCAAAGCGCUCCAAAUGCUCACUUAGAGAAUCUACAAAGAGUGUUUCAAAUAUUCUCAAUCAAAAGAAAUGUUCAACUCUGUCAGAUGAAUGCACACAUCACAAAGAAGUUUCUCAGAGUUCUUCUGUCUAGUUUUUAUGUGAAGAUAUUUCCUUUUCCACCAUAGGCCUCAAAGCACUCCAAAUGUCCACUUGCAGAUUCUACAAAAAGAGAGUUUCAAUACUGCUCUAUCAAAAGGAAUGUUUAACUCUGUGAGAAGAAUGCACACGUCACAAAGAGAUUUCUCAGAUUGCUUCUUUCUAGAUUUAAUGUGAAGAUAUUUCCUUUUCUAUCAUAGUCGGCAAAGCGCUCCAAAUGUCCACUUGCACAUUCUACAAAAAGAGUGAUUCCAAACUGCUCAAUCAAAAGGAAGGUUCAACUCUGUGAGAUGAAUGCACACAUCACAAAGAAGUUUCUCAGAUUGCUUCUGUCUAGGUUUUAUGUGAAGAUAUUUCCUUUUCUACCUUAGGCCCCAAAGCGCUCCAAGUGUCCACUUGUAGAUUUUACAAAAAGAGUGUUUCCAAACUGCUCAAUCAAAAGGAAGUUUCAACUCUGUGAGAUGAACACACACAUCACAAAGAAGUUUCUCAGAAUUCUUCUGUCUAGUUUUUAUGGGAAGAUAUUUCCUUUUCCACCAUAGGCCUAAAAGCACU
rnacentral:lncRNA from 10 species